rnacentral:rRNA from 1 species
AUUGAACGCUGGCGGCAGGCCUAACACAUGCAAGUCGAACGGUAGCACAGAGAGCUUGCUCUCGGGUGACGAGUGGCGGACGGGUGAGUAAUGUCUGGGAAACUGCCCGAUGGAGGGGGAUAACUACUGGAAACGGUAGCUAAUACCGCAUAACGUCUUCGGACCAAAGUGGGGGACCUUCGGGCCUCACACCAUCGGAUGUGCCCAGAUGGGAUUAGCUAGUAGGUGGGGUAAUGGCUCACCUAGGCGACGAUCCCUAGCUGGUCUGAGAGGAUGACCAGCCACACUGGAACUGAGACACGGUCCAGACUCCUACGGGAGGCAGCAGUGGGGAAUAUUGCACAAUGGGCGCAAGCCUGAUGCAGCCAUGCCGCGUGUAUGAAGAAGGCCUUCGGGUUGUAAAGUACUUUCAGCGGGGAGGAAGGCGAUGAGGUUAAUAACCGCAUCGAUUGACGUUACCCGCAGAAGAAGCACCGGCUAACUCCG